rnacentral:lncRNA from 12 species
AGCUACUUGUCCCAUCCAGAGUCCUAUCAAUCUGCUACCAUCCAUCAUGAGUCAACAGUGAAAACAGGGAAAGGUAUAUUCUAGACCAUAAGUCAAUUCUGACUACUAUGGUUUCACAUCUAUCUGGUGUAUUUCAUAGUAGUUGAUACUCAUGUCCUUUUAUUAUGUCUGACAUUAGAGAUGGUCCAGCUGGAACAGAGAUGGAGCAACACCCUGCAAAUUCCACACUCUAACACGUGGCUGGGUGUGAGCAAACACUACGGCUCACGUUGGCGCCUAACCUCAAGAAACACUUGAUUACUGCUGAAGCACUGAAAGAAUCCCAGAGUAGGGUGUCAAUGGUAGCACACAUCCUAGAGGUAAGAACGUAAGUACUGGGACAUGUUAUAUCAUUCUCUUCCCGUGUGUUU